rnacentral:misc_RNA from 1 species
UCCGGCUUAUCACCGGCAGUUUCCUUAGAGUGCCCAACUGAAUGAUGGCAACUAAGGAUGAGGGUUGCGCUCGUUGCGGGACUUAACCCAACAUCUCACGACACGAGCUGACGACAGCCAUGCAACACCUGUGUGUUAGCCAGCCGAACUGAAGAAUUCCUUUUCUGGAAUUCAUACUAACCAUGUCAAGGCCUGGUAAGGUUCUUCGCGUUGCCUCGAAUUAAACCACAUGCUCCACCGCUUGUGCGGGUCCCCGUCAAUUCCUUUGAGUUUUAAUCUUGCGACCGUACUCCCCAGGCGGAAUGCUUAAUGCGUUAGCGACGUCACUGAUCCGAAGACCAACAACUAGCAUUCAUAGUUUAGGGCGUGGACUAC